rnacentral:tRNA from 1 species
GGUCGAGUAGCUCAGGAGGUUCAGAGUACCAGCCUGAAAAGCUGGAGGUAUGUGGGAUCGAUACCCACCUCGACCACCA